GCAUACCAUUUGUAUCUGUAUGUAUUAUCACAAGCACAUACUUGAUUGGUCCAGGUGUAAUAAAGAUCACUUAUCCAAUAUAUUAACCUCCUUCAUAGAACCUAAACCUCAGUGACCCACAAACCACUGUGGUUUUAUAAGGGUUACCCCUACUGUGGAGUCUCUGAGUGAGCGUUAUUUUUCACAAUGUAUUCAGUUACCAUACCUCAGUAACAGUUCUGCGCUCCAGGUCCAGGACUUUGAUUUGAUGAUUAUUGGUGUCUGCAACAUACAACAAGUGGCCAUCAACGCACAGACCACCAGGUUCAUUGAAUGCCGCGUGCGUGAAGUCUACACCGGCGACAUUAGCAGCCUCACCAGUGCCAGCUAUGGUAACACAGUUCUUUGUUUUCGGAUCUACAGCUUUGAUCUGACGUAAAUCGGAAAAAUACAAGUUAGAUGAAGCAUAACACGGGACAGGGUGAUACAAGAAAACCAAAGCCCUGUCUGCAGGCCUUGUUUAGAUGGAAAACACCAGUGAAAACCAGACUUCCUUUUACAAAGUCUAUCUACAAUAAUCUGCAUCAAAAUCUAAACUUUAUUUUCCAACCGAAUUAAACAGAACAUGAAUAAUAAAGUACCACAAGAGCAGGGAUAUUCUGUAGCUGAAUGACACCCCCGGGCAAGUUUUGUGCCCUGUGUUUUAAACACAAUAUAUUUAAUUUAUCUGUAAGUGGAAAAUCCUUAAAGGAACCCUAAAUCACCA